rnacentral:rRNA from 1 species
UGGGGAAUAUUGCACAAUGCGCGCAAGCCUGAUGCAGCCAUGCCGCGUGUGUGAAGAAGGCCUUCGGGUUGUAAAGCACUUUCAGCGGGGAGGAAGGCGUUAAGGUUAAUAACCUUGGCGAUUGACGUUACCCGCAGAAGAAGCACCGGCUAACUCCGUGCCAGCAGCCGCGGUAAUACGGAGGGUGCAAGCGUUCAUCGGAAUUACUGGGCGUAAAGCGCACGCAGGCGGACUGUCAAGUCGGAUGUGAAAUCCCCGGGCUCAACCUGGGAACUGCAUUCGAAACUGGCAGGCUAGAGUGUUGGAGAGGGGGGUAGGAUUCCAUGUGUAGCGGUGAGAUGCGUGGAGAUCUGGAGGAAUACCGGUGGCGGAGGCGGCCCCCUGGACAAAGACUGACGCUCAGGGGCGAAAGCGUGGGGAGCAAACAGG